AGCGGAGGAAAAGAAACCAACAGGGAUUGCCCCAGUAACGGCGAGUGAAGCGGCAACAGCUCAAAUUUGAAAUCUGGCCCCAGGCCCGAGUUGUAAUUUGCAGAGGAUGCUUUUGGCGCGGUGCCUUCCGAGUUCCCUGGAACGGGACGCCAUAGAGGGUGAGAGCCCCGUACGGUUGGACACCAAGCCUUUGUAAAGCUCCUUCGACGAGUCGAGUAGUUUGGGAAUGCUGCUCUAAAUGGGAGGUACAUUUCUUCUAAAGCUAAAUAUUGGCCAGAGACCGAUAGCGCACAAGUAGAGUGAUCGAAAGAUGAAAAGCACUUUGAAAAGAGGGUUAAACAGCACGUGAAAUUGUUAAAAGGGAAGCGCUUGUGACCAGACUUGCGUCCGGUGAAUCACCCAGCUCUCGCGGCUGGGGCACUUCGCCGGCACAGGCCAGCAUCAGCUUGCCGUCGGGGACAAAAGCUUCAGGAACGUGGCUCCUCUCGGGGAGUGUUAUAGCCUGUUGCACAAUACCCUUCGGCGGGCUGAGGUACGCGCUCCGCAAGGAUGCUGGCGUAAUGGUCAUCAGCGACCCGUCUU
rnacentral:rRNA from 1 species